rnacentral:rRNA from 1 species
GACACUCAAUUUGACCCCGAAGAGUACCGAACGCGAGAACAACCUCGCCCCAAGCCCUUAAAGAAUUUAGGAAGACAUUCGUGCAAACCGGAUUACUCUUGGACCCAAUAGCUAGCCCAACCACCUAACAUAAAUCAACCAACAUUAAUAACCCCUCACGCAGGAAAUACCACAAAACAAACCAUUUUUCCCUCUUAGUACGGGAGACAGAAAAGAGAUCCCGGCGCAAUAAAGAAAGUACCGCAAGGGAAAGCUGAAAGAGAAAUGAAAGAACCCAGUUCGAAGUAUAACAAAGCAGAGUUUAACUCUCGUACUUU